UUGAAAAUUGUUAAAGAACAUCAUAAAACAAACCAAGGAUUGACAAAAACACUUUUUCCAAUGAGUCCUUCAAAUGCACAAACAUAUUUAUUUCUAAACAAUAUUCUUUUAUAAUUUAGUAAUGAUUUGGAUGCUCUUAAUGAUUGUCGCUUUGUUUUAUUGAAACAAUUGUGGUAUACAUUGAAACAUAAUGACCAGAAGUAUUUAAAGUUUUGGCUGCAGUCGUAUUUAGCCAAUGUUCAAGAUGUUUAUAUUGGCUAUAAAAACGUAAAUGGUAUUAUAGAUGAACCCAUUGUACAUAAAAUGGCAGGACAACUGCCAAAGAAUCGCUUUUGGAAGCCAGUGAUUUGUACAGGAUUUUUAUAUGACUUUUUGCAGAAUGUCGAAAAGUGCAUGUCUUCUGUCAACUGCUUAUAUACUGUGUAUGUUUUUCACUACAAUAAAGAAGAAAACAGUUUCAGUUAUGAAAUGUUUAAUGGUGAAACCGAUAAGACUUUUAUAACAAACGAGUACAUGGAAUAUUGCAAUGAAAAGUCAAAUGUAUAAAUUAUUAUUCAUACAACUAGAUAGCUAAUUGAGAGCCCAAAACCUACAUAUGUCUGUUGUCAAAAACCUAAUCAAUUGAUGACUACUUAUAAACGUUGAUGGUAUCUCAUCCAUCACCAACAUAAUUUGCUUUGAUUUGUAAUAUCUAGUUACUUGGUAUCCCGGUUUAAUGAAUACUCAUAUACAUCUAUCUAUUUUAUGCAUUUUUAAUUUCUAGACCUAAAAAUGUAAAUAACUCUUUCAACAAGUUCAUAUAUUAUUAGAUUUUUGAAAACUUUAACUUCGAUUUUUUCAAUAUUUUAAUUUUAUAGCGACUUAUUGCAGUAAACCCUUCAUAAUAAUAUACGUAUAUAUGUAUCUAUUUUUAUUACUGUUUUUUAAAUAAAAAUAAAUUUAUUGAAAAAUAAUAAAA